rnacentral:rRNA from 1 species
UGAGGAAUAUUGGUCAAUGGGCGAAAGCCUGAACCAGCGACGCCGCGUGGGCGAAGAAGGUCUUCGGAUCGUAAAGCCCUUUUCUGUGUGAAGAGAGAGGACGGUAGCACAGGAAUAAGCCUCGGCUAACUACGUGCCAGCAGCCGCGGUAAAACGUAGGAGGCGAGCGUUAUCCGGAGUUACUGGGCGUAAAGCGCGUGUAGGCGGCUGUUUAAGUGUGCUGUGAAAUGUCCCGGCUCAACCGGGAAGGUGCGGCGCAGACUGGACGGCUGGAGGGUGACAGAGGCAGGUAGAAUUCCGGGUGUAGUGGUGAAAUGCGUAGAGAUCCGGAGGAAUACCAGUGGCGUAAGCGGCCUGCUGGGUCAAUCCUGACGCUGAGACGCGAAGGCAUGGGGAGCGAACGGG